UACAGAGGGUGCAAGCGUUAAUCGGAAUUACUGGGCGUAAAGCGUGCGCAGGCGGUCUGUUAGGACCGAUGUGAAAUCCCCGGGCUUAACCUGGGAACUGCAUUGGUGACUGGCAGGCUUUGAGUGUGGCAGAGGGAGGUAGAAUUCCACGUGUAGCAGUGAAAUGCGUAGAGAUGUGGAGGAAUACCGAUGGCGAAGGCAGCCUCCUGGGCCAACACUGACGCUCAUGCACGAAAGCGUGGGGAGCAAACAGG
rnacentral:rRNA from 1 species